UACGAAGGGGGCUAGCGUUGUUCGGAAUCAUUGGGCGUAAAGCGCACGUAGGCGGCUUUUUAAGUCAGGGGUGAAAUCCUGGAGCUCAACUCCAGAACUGCCUUUGAUACUGAGAAGCUUGAGUCCGGGAGAGGUGAGUGGAAUUGCGAGUGUAGAGGUGAAAUUCGUAGAUAUUCGCAAGAACACCAGUGGCGAAGGCGGCUCACUGGCCCGGUACUGACGCUGAGGUGCGAAAGCGUGGGGAGCAAACAGG
rnacentral:rRNA from 1 species